rnacentral:lncRNA from 1 species
UGCUUGCUCUUCUUACUGGCCAGGCUAUUUUUAGCAGGGGGACUUUUGGCAAAGAAGAAAUAAACUGCUUCUCUCAUCCAACUGCUUGAGUCUUUCCACGUUCCUCCUUUGUUCCUCCUCAAUGCUAACUCUGGCUUGCUGAUACUGCUUCCUCCUGAUCUUCUAGACCCAGAUUGCUCACCCAGUCCCAGCCCCUAGGCCUCCAGAAAUCCUCUUCCUGAUCUCCAGCUCUGAUCCUAAAUCGACCUCCCCCACUGUUGCUGGGCUGAUUGCUGCCACCAAGAAGCUAGGAGUCCUUGGAGUCACUCCUCAGGGCAGAUGGACAAGAGAAUACAAAAAGAACCGUUGCACAGUGCCAAAGAAGCCCAAAGCUAAAUUGUGCAGUGCCAAUUGAGCACAAGGUCAAAGUGAUCCAGAAAUCCUGAUGGGAUUCAUGAAAAUUUUGAGCCAAGACAAGAGGACUUUAACUUGUUUGGGGUUUGAGGUUGUAGCUGUUUAACAUGUGUUAAAGGCAGGUCUUCCUUGUCCCACAUUCUACCAAGUAUCUCAAAUUUGGCUCCUAUCUGGCUCCUAUUAUCUAGUCCCUUUUCUGUCUUUCAUGGUGUGACAAACUUUCUAUAGUUCUGGAUACUGAUUGGGUAAAUGUAUAAUUGCUUAAAUCAUUUUAAUUGGGCCCUGAUUCAAGGACCUGUUAUAGAUUUGUUUUUCCUU